UAGAACAAUUAUUUCAAAUUCUUUUUCAGUCAACUUGUGGAUCUCCAUUUUUUUGAGGACAAUUACUGGAAGUUUAUUGUGUUCUUUUGGUGGCGUCAUGUUUUCCUGAUUCUCUGUGAUUCUUGUAACUUUGUGUAGGUGUCUAUGCAUUUGAAGAAGCAGUCAUCCCCUCCAAAAUUCAUGAACUGACUUUUAAAAGUAAAGACCUUCACCUGCAGGGGGCUAGACCUACUGGAAUGAAUGAGGCAAUAGCGUCUAAUGAUGACCCAUUCCCUUGCCCUGUGAAUAAGGUUGAAAAGACCUGAAAGACCUCGCAAAUUUUCAGAAUCAUAAAAUAAAUGCUAUUGUGCAGGAAGUAAAAUACGCCCAAAGGCAUCCUCUACUUUCUAAGACAGAACCCAGAAAACUGCAUGAGGAGGGCUUUGAAGAACUAAAAACAGAGACCAGGAUGGCAAACUCAAGGCAAAAGCCAGGAAACACAGGAGGAAAACCCGAUAUGUAAGGGAAUAUGGCCAAUUUUGCUCUAAACAUCUGUAUUCAAUACUUGGAGGACAUUCUGGAAUUGGAGAUGUCCCAGAAGAAAUUGGAGAUCCUUUUUUGACAGAGGCUGAAAUUGGAGAUCCUUUUUUGACAGAGGCUGAAAUUGGAGAGUCAUACAAAGUAAGUGGUUCUGAAACAAUAAAAAUGGGAAAGAUUUUCCUUUAGAGGUAAAUCAUCUGAGAAACCUUCAGAGGAAAGAGUCUGUGGAGGAGUAAACUAAAAAAUAAACAAUAUGAGUCUUGGUUGAAGAAUGCUUGGGUAUAUUUGUUUUCCACCUAAGGGUCUUUGUGUUAUCUGUGCUUUGUACCUGCAGUAUUCUCCCCCUGAUCAUCAUAUAUUGUUUACAUAUUGUCACUCUAUUCUCCAUUUAAGUGUUUCACCUCCUCAGAGAGGGCUUUCAAAUUCCACAAACGACAGUAGUUAUGCACUCUCACAUCACAGAAA